rnacentral:rRNA from 1 species
CGGCAGGCCUAACACAUGCAAGUCGAGGGGUAGAGUUCUUCGGAACUUGAGACCGGCGCACGGGUGCGUAACGCGUAUGCAAUCACCUUUUGCAGAGGGAUAGCCCAGAGAAAUUUGGAUUAAUACCUCAUAGUAUAGUACUUUGGCAUCAAGGAACUAUUAAAGUCACAACGGCAAAAGAUGAGCAUGCGUCCCAUUAGCUAGUUGGUAAGGUAACGGCUUACCAAGGCUACGAUGGGUAGGGGUCCUGAGAGGGAGAUCCCCCACACUGGUACUGAGACACGGACCAGACUCCUACGGGAGGCAGCAGUGAGGAAUAUUGGACAAUGGGCGCAAGCCUGAUCCAGCCAUGCCGCGUGCAGGAUGACGGUCCUAUGGAUUGUAAACUGCUUUUAUACAGGAAGAAACACUCCGACGUGUCGGAGCUUGACGGUACUGUAAGAAUAAGGAUCGGCUAACUCCGUG